GACGUAGGGCGCGAGCGUUGUCCGGAUUUAUUGGGCGUAAAGAGCUCGUAGGCGGCUUGUCGCGUCGACUGUGAAAACCCGCGGCUCAACUGCGGGCCUGCAGCCGAUACUGUCGGGCUAGAGUGCGGAAGAGGCGAGUGGAAUUCCUGGUGUAGCGGUGAAAUGCGCAGAUAUCAGGAGGAACACCUAUUGCGAAGGCAGUCGCGUGGGACGUAACUGACGCUGAGACGCGAAAGCGUGGGAGCAAACAGG
rnacentral:rRNA from 1 species